AUGAGCGGCAGAGCAGUCACUUAUCAGAAAUCCAUGCAUGCCCACGGUGAGAGCAGGGGCGGAGAAACCUUCACCUUGAGUUUCAGUACGACGGUGCCGCCCCUUUUCUUCUUAGACUUCCCCGGCCUAUUCCUUCAUCCUCCUCCUCUGCCACCGUCGUACUCGCCUCCUUCCUGGGAACAGGCAUACCUGAAGUGCAGAGGAGACGCAUCAUCAAGCAAUCGCAGACGAGUGUCAAGGCGAGGGGCAAACCGAGUGGACUCUGAAGAGCCAGAGAUGAUCCAAAAGUAA
rnacentral:rRNA from 1 species